AGUCGUUUGAUUUGCUGGCGCUGUCACAGUUUUUCUUUGUACAGAACCACUGGGUAAUGCUCUGUAGGUAACUGUGUAAUACAAUAUAGCACCAUUUUGAUGUG